GCACAUUACAUCAGUAUAUUAAUUGUAAAGUUUAUUGUAUAGUAUUUAACCACUGAUUUUAUUUUAUGUUGUGCUUAUGUGAACCCCUUGGUGAAGAUCCUUUUUCCUUGGAUAAUGUGUAGUUAUAUCUCUUUUUAAAUGUACAGAUAUUUUGCUAUAAAAUUGGUGCAGUUUUUUAUGGUUUUUACACUUCUCUUUAAUUCCCACCUAAGAUUCUGGGUAAUAUUGUAAAUAUUGUUUAAAAAUGCAUCAGCCUAUGCUAUACAAUCUGAAUGUUAUUUUAACUUAUAGUUCUUUUUUUAAUAUAUAUAUUUAACUACAAGGACAAUUUAGGGAUCAGUUACCACAUUUCACUUUAGUGUACCUAUUUACAGAUUAAACUGCCACCUGCUGGAGCAUUUCCACAUGUACUUUAAAAAGAACAUGCCAAGAUUUUGUCUUUGGGUUAAGUCAACUUUAAUUUUGAUGAAAAUUAGCAAAUUGACCAUGACAUGUAAGACCAAUAGUUGGACCUGCCACAAUGCAGCUAUUUCCCAAAGCUCAAAGCUGACAUGCAUAUUAAAAAAUAAUUGUCUAUUAAUGUACAAAUAGACAAUAAUGUUGGCAUGUUCUUUUCUGUGUCUAUUAAUGGGCCUGCAUCUUAGCAAUGUUAGAAAUGUUUUACAAAAG
rnacentral:lncRNA from 1 species